AAAUAGGUUCUUUCUACUGAAUUAUUUGCCAUUUUUUUCGAAUAAGUCCAAUUUAGUGUUGUAUUUUUUUUUUCAACAGGUGUUGGCAAUGAUCCUAGAGAAGACCGUUAUUUUAGCAUCCCAAAGCAAGCAAAACUUACGAUCCUGAAGGCGAGUACGUUUCAUAUUGGUUGCCAGAGCUCCAACCUCUUCCCAGAGAGAGAAGAAAUUUUCCUGGGAAAUCAUAUAUCAAGCAAGUUGUACCUCUUAAGUUUGAAAAUACUACAAUCAAUAGGCAGAAUCAUUUCAGUACAGGUAAGGUAUGGAAGAAGAAAGAUCACUGACCGAAUGCAUAUCUGAACAAAAUUUCUUUCUGUUACCCAACAGAUUACCAAUUUGUAAUUAAUAGAAAAGUAUUUGUAGUAUUGAUUGGCUUUAUGAAUAAUUAACAUAUUAGUAAAUAUAAUCUCAUAAUUGU